UACAGAGGUCCCAAGCGUUGUUCGGAUUCACUGGGCGUAAAGGGUGCGUAGGUGGUGAGGUAAGUCGGAUGUGAAAUCUCCGAGCUCAACUCGGAAAUGGCAUUGGAAACUACCUUGCUCGAGGGUUGGAGGGGGGACUGGAAUGCUUGGUGUAGCAGUGAAAUGCGUAGAUAUAUGGAAGAACACCAAUAACGGCGAAGGCAGUUAACUAUUCUGCUGCUGACAUUGAGGCACGAAAGCGUGGGGAGCAAAAAGG
rnacentral:rRNA from 1 species